rnacentral:misc_RNA from 1 species
UACAGAGGCCCCAAGCGUUAUCCGGAAUUAUUGGGCGUAAAGCGUCCGCAGGCGGGAUGGUGCGUCUGCUGUUAAAUCCAUGGGCUCAACCCAUUGGGCGGCAGCAGAUACGGCCAUUCUUGAGGCAGGGAGAGGUAAGCGGAACUCCUGGUGGAGCGGUGAAAUGCGUUGAUAUCAGGGGGAACACCAAUUGCGAAGGCAGCUUACUGGCCCUGUCCUGACGCUCAGGGACGACAGCGUAGGGAGAGAACGGG